UGCUGAAAAUUCAUCCAUUUUUAUUGUUAAAAACUGGUCUGAUUGAUAGAAUAUUUUGACAGUUACACAUAAUCUGUCAUGUGUAUUUCAUUUUGGCGUUACAACGAUCAAUUUUUAAUAAUAGAAAUAGAUGAAAUUUUUAACA
rfam:Gossypium hirsutum cultivar TM-1 unplaced genomic scaffold scaffold104.1, whole genome shotgun sequence